UACAGAGGGUGCGAGCGUUGUUCGGAAUUAUUGGGCGUAAAGGGCGCGUAGGCGGUGCGGUAAGUCACCUGUGAAAUCUCCUGGCUCAACUGGGAGCUUGCAGGCGAAACUGCCGUGCUGGAGUGUGGGAGAGGUGCGUGGAAUUCCCGGUGUAGUGGUGGAAUGCGUAGAUAUCGGGAGGAACACCAGUGGCGAAGGCGGUUGCCUGGAGCUUUGCUGACGCUGAUGCGCGAAAGCGUGGGGAGCGAUCCGG
rnacentral:rRNA from 1 species